GCUACACAAGAAAAUAGUCUGAAAAAUAGCAGGCCUAGUAAUACAAAAAUAUGGCCCAUCAACUCAAUUAUUGGAACCAAUAAUAAUUUUGCUUCAGAAAAAUGGACAAGAUAUGAAAAAAGCAUUGAAAUGGUACAUUCUUCCAAGGACAGACUCCUAUUUAUUCAGUUUCUUGAUGCAGUCAUGUCCUAGUCUUCUAGACCAGAUGUAUGAAAAGGUUCAAUCAAAUGAAUUUGAUGGUUUUAUUACUUUCUCAAUCAGUCCCUUUGUAUAGUUUACAGUACAAUAUUUGGUUCAGUUCAGCCACACAAGGACACAUUUCUGAAUGAAUCAGCAACAUGUUUAGAAAGGUAGGAUAUUAGAAUUCUUGGUUCUAGGUUUGCUAGAAGCAUAAACAGCAGGAAUAGCAACAGUUUUUUAUACAAGAACAUCGUGGUACCUUCGGACAUCUAGGUGGACAACAGCAUGUGCUGCACUUGUUGCAAGAACAAGUGCAGGAGCACGAGCAAUCUGGGCAAGAAGGGCCUUCGCAUUCGCAACAAUUGCAGCACGACCCCUUUUUAGAGCAUUUUAAACAGGAGCACGGCCAGCAGCAGCAUGACCAGCAGGAAUUUGAGCAACUAGCGCAACUAGGGCAACUUGGACACUUCGGUAUAGAGCAACAAGCACAUGGGUUGCAAUUACAUAUAUCACAGGAGCAGGAGCAGCAGUCUGGUCUUCUAAGAUGAGGACAGCAUCCACAACAGCAGCACAUCCAUGAUAGGUUGAAGCAAGACUUCCCACUGCAUUUUCACAGAUUUCAAGUUAAACAAUGACAGAGUCAGAUGAUUAGAUGCCGAGUUUAUCAAAAACUUGUGAUAAUUUUAAAGAUGCUAGUUACUUUUCUGUACACUGUAAUUUCAUAUACUUCUGUUUUUUGAAUAUACUUUGUAAUAGGUUGCAGUGAUAUGGUUUUAGUUGCAUACUUUUCAUGUGCUUGUUUGGUUAAUCAAGGGAAAAGAGUCCCAUGGGAA